AUUGAACGCUGGCGGCAGGCCUAACACAUGCAAGUCGAGCGGAUGAAGGGAGCUUGCUCCUGGACUCAGCGGCGGACGGGUGAGUAAUGCCUAGGAAUCUGCCUGGUAGUGGGGGAUAACGUCCGGAAACGGGCGCUAAUACCGCAUACGUCCUGAGGGAGAAGGUGGGGGAUCUUCGGACCUCACGCUAUCAGAUGAGCCUAGGUCGGAUUAGCUAGUUGGUGGGGUAAAGGCCUACCAAGGCGACGAUCCGUAACUGGUCUGAGAGGAUGAUCAGUCACACUGGAACUGAGACACGGUCCAGACUCCUACGGGAGGCAGCAGUGGGGAAUAUUGGACAAUGGGCGAAAGCCUGAUCCAGCCAUGCCGCGUGUGUGAAGAAGGUCUUCGGAUUGUAAAGCACUUUAAGUUGGGAGGAAGGGCAGUAAGUUAAUACCUUGCUGUUUUGACGUUACCAACAGAAUAAGCACCGGCUAACUUCGUG
rnacentral:rRNA from 1 species